GACAGAGGAUGCAAGCGUUAUCCGGAAUUAUUGGGCGUAAAGGGCGCGUAGGCGGCUUUUCAAGUGACGGGUGAAAUCCCUCGGCUUAACCGAGGAACUGCCUGUCAGACUGGAAGGCUUGAGACCGGGAGAGGUGAGUGGAAUUCCCAGUGUAGCGGUGAAAUGCGUAGAUAUUGGGAGGAACACCAGUGGCGAAGGCGGCUCACUGGACCGGAACUGACGCUGAGGCGCGAAAGCGUGGGGAGCAAACAGG
rnacentral:rRNA from 1 species